UACCUCAGCCAUAUCACCCUGCAACUCACAACUGGCAACUCACUGAAGCUAAGCAGGUGUGAGCCUGGUCAGUACCUGGAUGGAGACCUCCUGGGAAAAACUAAGGUUGCUGCUGGAA
ensembl:rRNA 5S_rRNA 5S ribosomal RNA